UCCCUACGGGACGCAGCAGUGGGGAAUAUUGCACAAUGGGGGAAACCCUGAUGCAGCAACGCCGCGUGAGUGAAGAAGUAUUUCGGUAUGUAAAGCUCUAUCAGCAGGGAAGAAAAUGACGGUACCUGAGUAAGAAGCACCGGCUAACUACGUGCCAGCAGCCGCGGUAAUACGUAGGGGGCAAGCGUUAUCCGGAUUUACUGGGUGUAAAGGGAGCGUAGACGGCGAUGCAAGUCUGAAGUGAAAGCCGGGGGCUCAACCCCGGGACUGCGUUGGAAACUGGAUGGCUGGAGGGCUGGAGAGGG
rnacentral:rRNA from 1 species